GCUUCUUCAACAACUGCCACCUCGGUAGCUCGCUAACAACAAAGUCGGAACAUUCAAGUUCUUUAGACAAUUUCGUGGUUUAUUUGCCACUAUGAUUUAAACAUACAUAUGUGGAAACAACUAGCUACCCCGUUUAAUUUAAUAUUUACGAUAAGUCAACUAGCUGGUUGGUUAAGUUAGCACUAGUCUAGUCGCUAAUGCUAACUAGCGAUUAUCCCCGACCAUGAGUUCACUAAGCUACUCUCCUCCUGAUAAAGAAGAGGUCUGCUGGACGGUGAAAGAAGCUCUCGUGAAAGAGGAGGAGGAUGUAACGAUACAAAAACAAGUACAGGGUGACACUGUUACCGUGAAAGAAGAGGAAGACGCUUUCAGAGUGAAAGAGGAGGAGGAUGUUACUGUGAAAGAAAAGGAGGAAGAUGUCGUUUUUGGAGUGGAGGAUGAAGUGAAAGAAGAUGAAGACGUUUGUGGAAUUAAGAGGGGGAGAUUACUGUCACAUUAGAGGAGGACGAAGAAGAGAAGCCUGGAGAACUAAUUAAACCAGUAAAUACAGAGAGAUACUUAACUAUUGUGGAUCCUCCUGGGAGCUUCAACAACCUUGUGAUGCUGAAGAGGCAGAGAAGAGUCUCUCCAGAUCAGAACACCUCAAUAAACCCCUGCAGAGAUCCACAGGGAAGAUAACUCACUGCUGCUCUGACUGUGGGAAGAGAUUCACCUCCUCAUCAGGCAUUAAUAUUAAUCAAUGAGCCCACACAAGAGAGAAUGUGGGAAGAGUUUUGGUCAAUCUGGAGAGCUGACAGUGCAUCAGAGAACACAGACAGGAGAGACACCUUAUAACUGUGAUCAGUGUGACAAGAGAUACUUUGAUAGAAGAUCUCUGAUCAAACAUCUGAAAAUACAUACAUGAAGGAGUUAUUUUGUGAAAUAAAUGUAAAAAUGUCACAAUGUAGAAUGUUUUUACAUUGUAGUAGGAGUAUUUUAAGGAAUUUCAGAAUGUAGAACCCUAAACGUUGGCCCCAUUCAAUUGAUAUCAGUGUGAUAUGGAUAUUAGCCUUGGGAAAAAUCCAGGCUAUGAAUUGAAAGAGUACUAUUUGUGUGAUUUAACAAAAAGUGACUAACACAAAAAGAGCUGUUACACUUACCAUGUUGGUGACCCACUUGAAUCAAAAUGCAACACUUCAAAAUGUAGCUCGCUGUUUUCUACAAAUUGUCCUCUAACCAGGGAUGUACACAUUAUUCCCAGAUUCCGUGUGGCUUUUGAGCUGUUAGUUUUAACAGGACGUGCAACCUCAUCUUCCUCCUCUCGGCACAAUUGAUUUCAAGAUGAUAUCGAUGAAUGACGACAAAUAAGUGUGGUGUUCCUUUGUUUAGCGACUCCUAAAUUUAAAUGCAUCACUCCAAAAUGUAGCUAUCUAUCUUCCUCUAACGAUCUAGUGAACCCUGAAAAGAGAGGGGAGCUCCACAGUGAGACGGAAAGUUACUACGGAUAUUGCAGGAGUUUCCUCUUGAAAUCAGACAUGCCCGUGGUAAGGACAACUUGGUUGCUGUUUGUCUCAAGGGUGCGCAGUCAAAAAGUUUUGUGUUUUGAAUUUAGCCAGUGCGUUGCCAUUUAUUUUGAAUGCACGUUUUUCCGUAUUGGAGAUGAGUUUUGUUUGGGCUCGUUCCAAGGGGACGAGAGUUCUAGAAGCUAGUGAGUUUAACACUUUUUCUUUUUCAUUGUUCACAGCCAGUAGACGCCAUGUUUAUAUUGAUGAAGGUGAAGCAUUGUAGUUGAUUAUAAUGUGACAUGUAAGUUGUUUUCUUUUGGUGGUAAGCAUUCUCUUAAGACGGAAGGUGUUUUGGUUUUUCCAUUUAUGUUUUGAGGUUGGACUUCAGCACGUAUAGCUCUUAGCACGUAGGGCGCACCGAUUGGUGUCUCCUCAUUAGUCAGUAUGUGUUACAUCUGUUGGCUUGUCCAUCUGGUUAGUGGGAAGGUGUUUCACCUGAGCUUGUCCAGGUUCUAUUUAAGAGUGUCUGGCCCAGUGCUCCAGUUGCCUUGAUAGAUGAGGAGAAUCAACACCUUUAGUUUCUCCACCUUUUUAGUUUGCUUACUGUCUCUCUAAGUUUGUUGUGGGUUUUUCUUUUGUUUGCCUCUUCUUGGGCAGAUUUAGUCGGUGCUCAUGGUGGGUGUCUUUUAUGUUCCAGUUGUUGUUACUAGUCAACUUUCAGUGGACGCUGAAACUUUUAUUGCAUCAAAUGGUUGUUUUAUGCAGCAGAAUAGAGGGUUCUUAUAACUGUUGUGUCUGUGUGUUCUACUGAGGAUGGGCAUUUCUCUUAGUGUUGGGGACCCAUAAACUCAAAAUGUAGCUGUCUUCUGCAGGUUGUCCUCUAACCAGUGAGCUAAAAGAUAUCUCCCAUUUCUAUGUUUUUGUUGUUGUGUUAGUUUCAACAGCAUGUACAAUCUGAUUUCCCCCCUAAUCGAUAUCAGUGAUUUAAUUUCAAUGUACUUGCAGCCUAUACACAUGGAUGCAGUAUAAUAAAUUGGUCUAUAAUCAAUUGAUAAGAGAAUUAUAUUAUCCAGGUCCAUAACCCAAUUUAAUUAUAUUACUCUGUCUGCAAACCAGAAUUGUAAGAUCCUGGUCGAAUGAAACAGACGGAGGCCCAGCUAAGGUCAAGAAUACAAAACAAUUCAUUUUACACUGACUUCUUACGCCCAUACAUACACACAAACAGACGCACACACUGUCUGUCUCACUACCCAGCCGACAGAGAUCAGUGAUUUUAUACAUUCCAUACAAUUAUGUUUCAGGGCGGAAUAUUCUAAUCAUAUCAGUUAACAGAUCAUUCUGAACUAACAUCAAUUUCAUUAACAAUCCUACAUCACUCCAGUAUUUCUUUACAACAUUCAAGUGAUAAUUGUCUUUAUUCCACUACUGAAGAAGCAUGACUCAAAUCACCUCAUAUUUCAAACAUCCAGCCUGACAAAAUAUACAUUUGUUAUUAUUCCAUGCCUCACCACUAAGUGAAGUAUUGCCAAUACAUAUUAACAAAGGGGUGUAAAUUUGCUUUUGAUAUUUUAUAUUUACAAUUGUGUAUAUUCCGUUUUGAUAUUUACAGUUAAUUUCACAUUUGGUAAUGAUAAUUAUUUAUGCAACCAAUUGUACAAUUAUAUUGACAUUGUUGCCCUGCUUUUAGAAUAUCAAGGUUAAUUCUCACAUGUACCAACCCAAAUGUACUAGAGCAUGACAUUGGGGACUGGGCCCCGAUCCAACAACAUGCCUAUAUAGUGAACCCUGAAAAGAGGGAGAAGCUCCGCAGUGAGGUGGGAAGUUACUAUGGAUAUUGCAGGAGUCUCCUCUUGAAAUCAUACAUGUCUGUGGUAAGGACAACUUGGUUGCUGAUUUUCUCAAGGGUGGGCAGUCAAAAAGUUUUGUGUUUAGCCAGUGUGUUUCCAUGGAUCACUAUUUAUUUUGACUGCACGUUUUUCCUUAUUGGAGAUGAGUUUUGUUUGGGCUCUUUCCAAGGGGAUGAGAGUUCUAGAAACUAGUGAGUUUUAGGAAGACGAGAGUUCUAGAAGCUAGUGGGGAAAAAUACGUUUUUUCAAGAAUUGGAAUGAACAGUUUCACUAAUUAAUUUUAAUUACCUUAAUCAUUAUGAUUCAACGUCAGUUCACCGUCUCACCUCCCACUGUAUUGGAGGACCAGCAGCUGAGUUGAUCAUUGAUUCUAAUCAGCAUGUUUGAAUCUGAGAGUAAAUAGAGCCGACCACUCUAAAAAACAAGGGUUCAACUGGAGUUGUUGAACCGUAGGGUUUUUAGUCAAUGCAAAACAGCCCCAAAAGGUUAUUCAAAUAACUUGUUAGAAGAUGGGUUCAUCGAGGAACCUCCGUUGUUGCUGGACUUCUUCCGGGAACUUCGCAAUGACAACUGAAAACGAUGGUGACAAGUUUGUAUGCGACAACAGUUAAAAAGGACAGAACAUGGACACAAUGCAAUUGGGAUCAAGAAGAAGGCACAGAUAUAUUAUGUUCUCAGAAAUGAAUCAAGUCCAUGGAAUGGAUAUAGACAAAAAUAUAAUUCAAGGACUAGCAGAGGUGAGGCAGGGGUGAGGACAUCAUCCUGCUAUUUGACAGUCCCUGAAGGACAAUACAGAAGAGGACUGGAGACCACAGCAGCGAUUCUGCUCUUGCCCUAACCUCUUCAAUGAGAACCCGAGUGUCCUUUAUGUCCGUGACAAGAUUUCACCUCUCUUCACUCCUUUACGGCACAUCGGUGGAUAUCCAUUUCACCAUGAGAGUGAAAUCCCGCUGGCCUUUGAUGGGGAGAACAUCCACGCCCUCGAGGACGUCCCCAUUGGACUUGGGGCUCUGCUCGGGCUGAAUUUAUUUAUUUUCCUUAAAUUUCCCCAAAAUGUCAGAAAAACACUUGUGUUGUUCAGUUACUGUGUUCUGGGGAUAAGAGAAGUUGGGGUGCCAGGGCCGGUCAUAAAGAUGGCAAACUUCCUAACAUAUCUAAGUGGAUACAAUAUACACACUAAAGCUGAAAAUCUGUAUUUAGCAUCAACUCUACAAUAUUGUUAGUUUACCUAUGAUACAUUUUUAAGGAAUGUGGUUUUUAUUGGACAUCAAUUUAAUUUAUUUUUUUAAUGACAUGAAAAGCACUAUACAAAGUAAAUGUAUUUAACAUAAAUGUUGCAAUAUUGUAAUGUGUUUUGUUUGGUAAAUUGUUCUGUAAAUAUUUAUUCACAUUUGUGGUGCCACUAAAUAAACAA